GAUGAACGCUGGCGGCGUGCCUAAUACAUGCAAGUCGAGCGAACGGACGAGAAGCUUGCUUCUCUGAUGUUAGCGGCGGACGGGUGAGUAACACGUGGAUAACCUACCUAUAAGACUGGGAUAACUUCGGGAAACCGGAGCUAAUACCGGAUGAUAUUUUGAACCGCAUGGUUCAAAAGUGAAAGACGGUCUUGCUGUCACUUAUAGAUGGAUCCGCGCUGCAUUAGCUAGUUGGUAAGGUAACGGCUUACCAAGGCAACGAUGCAUAGCCGACCUGAGAGGGGAGACGGCCAAAAUGGAACGGGAAAACGGUCCAGACUCCAAAGGGAGGAAGAAGUAGGGAAUUUUCCGCAAGGGGCGAAAGCCUGACGGAGAAACGCCGCGUGGGUGAUGAAGGUCUUCGGAUGGUAAAACUCUGUUAUUGGGGAAGAAAAUAUGGGAAAGUAACUGUGAAAAUUUGGAGGGAAACAAAUAAAAAAGCCACGGCUAACUACG
rnacentral:rRNA from 1 species